AUUGAUUUCUUGCCUAAAAUUAGCUGGAUUCUAUUUGAAUCAGUUCAGCAGAAUUAAAAAGUAUAAUUAGCCUGAGCAUGCACCGUACUCCUCCACCUAACUGCCACUUAAAUAUGUCCUGCAAUGCUUGUGCUCUUUCUGGAGAGCUCAAAGAACUCUAGGCAGAAGCAGUUAACUGCAUGCAGGAAAGUAGUCAUGAAUUGCUAUGAGCGCCUCGUCAACGAUCCUGCAUAUGUGUGUGCUAUCAUCUACAAUUGUCCUCAUAAAAUUAAAUAAAAGCACGCGCUUAUUAUUGUGGGGCUCCAAUUAAGAGACAGCUGGUGCUCUUAUUACGCUUGCAUUAAAUUGAAACUUGUAAUUUAGAUGUCCAGAUGCACAUUUUUAAAAUCAAAGUAUAAAAUGGCAUUCGCUUUGUCCACUUUCCAUUCACAAGUAUCCCGAACCUUACCUCGGGGCUCCUCCUACCCUGUAAAACUCCCCUGAAGUAGGGGAAGCAUUUCUUCUACCAUUUGUCCUCUCUCAAAUUCUUACAGGGAAAUAAAAGACCUGGAGUUGUUGGAAGGGAGGAGAGCCAGGGAGGCAAACGGCGCGAAUUUAACCCCGUGCGAGUCGAUGUGUGUGUUGAUGGAGGUCAUUUUCGAAUUCCCCACGUGCCCUCACCUGUCUAGGAAGUUUCUAGAAACCUAGAGCUCCGCGCUCCAUCUAUCUCACCGCCUUUUCUCAUCCGCACUUGCGUCGCCGAAGCUCUAGAAACUUUCGCGGCGGCUCGCGCUCCCCACCAGGGUACGUCCACGCUUCCCCCAAAGCUUUGCUCUUGUGUCCCGAGCGUUAUGAUUUGCACCCCCUACUCCCAGUCAAUAAGGACGUGACAAAAGCCACUUCGGCCGAGGGCUCGGGACGGGCUGGGGUUUUUGUUGUUGUUGUUUGUUUGUUUGUUUUGUGUUUUGUGUUAUUUUUUUUUUUUUUUUGGAGAGGAGAAGCGCCACACCCCCUAGGACUACAGCCCACGGAGGCGGUCCGCUGGGCAAGCAAAAGCCGGCGGGCGCGCACGUAGGAGUCACACAAAGCCUAGGUCUCACGACGCAAGUGCGCCCUCCAGGAAGAAGGUGCCCCCACCCGGUGCGUGGUCGGGAGCGCGAAAGCGCGCCCUCCAGGAAGAAGGUGCCCCCACUCGGAGCGUGAGCAGGAGCGCCACUUUUUUUUUUUUUUUUUUUUGGCGCUCUUUGCGCGCGAGCCGCGAGGAGGCGGAAGACCGUCCCGGGCCGGCGCGGGAAUCGGCCAGGAGGCGCCUCAGUUGCUGCGCGUGUCGCCGUCCCAGCGAGACGCGUCUGGAGUGGCUCCCCGCUCAAGACUUGAAUGUUCUGUACAAUACUUGUGAAAUCGUGGUCUCCAUCUGCAGUGCUGUGCACUUCCCAUAUGCCCUAAAGGGUGCAGUAUUGAGCCACUAA
rnacentral:lncRNA from 1 species